UGGGGAAUAUUGCACAAUGGGCGCAAGCCUGAUGCAGCCAUGCCGCGUGUAUGAAGAAGGCCCUCGGGUUGUAAAGUACUUUCAGCGGGGAGGAAGGGAGUAAAGUUAAUACCUUUGCUCAUUGACGUUACCCGCAGAAGAAGCACCGGCUAACUCCGUGCCAGCAGCCGCGGUAAUACGGAGGGUGCAAGCGUUAAUCGGAAUUACUGGGCGUAAAGCGCACGCAGGCGGUUGAUUGAGUCAGAUGUGAAAUCCCCGGGCUUAACCCGGGAAUUGCAUCUGAUACUGGUCAGCUAGAGUCUUGUAGAGGGGGGUAGAAUUCCAUGUGUAGCGGUGAAAUGCGUAGAGAUGUGGAGGAAUACCGGUGGCGAAGGCGGCCCCCUGGACAAAGACUGACGCUCAGGUGCGAAAGCGUGGGGAGCAAACAGG
rnacentral:rRNA from 1 species